CCCCCUUCAGAACGGACGGGUCCGUGCGGUUCGGAAUAGACUUCCACGAGGCUGGAGAAAAGGCACAGCAGAAUCGAAGAUUUAUUAUGCCGCAGCAUAUGAGUGUCCACCCUGCUGCCCUUCUUGCUUUGCUUCGCACUCCCACAGAGCUGACCACUACUUCGACUGGCCCAGUGUGAAAAAGGCAGCCCGGUGGGACCUCAGUGCCACCUUCAGUCUUCUUUUCACAGUGAGGAAGGCAAACAAACAAAAGGCCAACUGCAAAGUGGUGGGCAAACUUUCCCAGCUUCAGCCCACCUUCCUUCCUUCCUCCCUGCCUCCCUUUCUUGAAUUCAUUGGAGUUUUUUGCAUGCAAGGGAUUGCAUGGAGUUUUGCCAAAUUAUGACCAAGAGUGUGGGAAGACAUCUCCAUG